AAAUCUUCAUUGUUCUCCCUACCGAAAAACUCAGAAGAAGGAAGGGAGAGUUUUAGCUGGUGUUCUAUUCUCGGGUCAGAACGGGAAGCAGCAGUGCACAUUUUUUCUUGUGAUGAGGAGAGAAGUUAAAACAUGACUGCUCGUACCUACCAAAACCUCUUUCUGAUGUCUGUCCCUUUAAGUGCCCAUCUGUUCUCAAGUGCCUGCUACCACCAUCCCUUCUGCCAUGUGGUUAGAGACACGCUGGAAGAACAUCCGCCAAACCUUGCUGCUUCUGUUCACUGCUGCUCUUCUCAUCGGGGUCACCAUGCUGGCCAUUUCCUCUAACAUCAACCCCGUAGGCUAUUUCUUCCUCGGGGUAGGGGGAGUGUGCCUGGUCGGCUAUUUGCUGAGUAUGUUUGUCGAGUGUUACCUGAGGAAUCAACACCAGCAUGACGCAAAUGAAAUACCUCCAAACAGGCAAAGCCAAGCAGGGGUGAACGCUGCCUACGAAGCGCCCACCUACGAGGAGGUGAUGACCAUGUCAGCUCCAGCAAUAUGGACAAUUACAUCCAACCCAGGCUCCGUGCCCUUGUCGCUGAGUGAGCCGCCCCCAUACAAUGUAGUUAUUGAAUCCUCUGCCCAACAGGAGAUGAUGGAGGAGGCUCUCCGGGGGCCACUGCCACCAGACACAAUGCACACUCCUGAGACAGACACGGGCUCCAGCAUGCAGCUGCAGCUGGUGCUGCCUCCAAGACUGCAGCGGUUUGUUUCGGACAUCCAUGAGGAGAAAGAUAUUGAAGACAGGUUCGAACCAGUGGAGCCACUCACUCCACCACCUGCUUAUGAGAUUGCCAUCAGUGAUGAGGUCUUUGAAGAUGCUCACCAGCCCUCUGCAUUAGGAUUGAUUUCACCUUCUAUGCAUACAGAACCAAACCCUCACUCCAAUACAGGAUGCUCCUAGAGGGCAGGUAAAUGGCUGAGAUUGCUUUGCCUUAAAAUGCAAAUGUUUGUUUCACCAUUCUUUGAACCAGAGUUGAACUACAGACCCAGCUUCUGAUGUUACUAGAAUCUUUUUGCACGAAAUAUAAAUCAAUGCAAUACCACACUGCUUUGUCCUGGCAGAUACCUAAAACCUCUGUAAGGAAAGUUGUGUUAUAUAUGGCAGCAUUCUCAAACUGGAGAUGCACUUUUAUGGGAGAGGAGAAGUAAAUCAUGAGAAGAGAAAAGGUUGCCAAAAGACCUCUGAAGAAGGACUGUAGGAUGCAGCCAGAAGAAUCUGCCUGAAAAAGGCGAGGAAUAGAAACAAUGCUAAGCAGGAUCUGCCUGUGCAUUGCAAACAGCAAUAUUGCUGAGUGCUGUGUGGUCAUCAGCCACCCUGAAAUCCCUACAGAGAGAACAAGCCUGCAGUCCUCGAGUUGCUGUUUUGCAGCAACACAAAUUUAUGGUCUAAGCUGUUUGUUACUGUCCCUCUGCCACACCUGCUCCACAUCCUCAACUGUGCUACAUGGGACUGUAACUGAGGGGAGAGUGGCUGACUGCAUCUGGAAGCUGGUACCACCUGAUACCUGUCACUUAGGGUUGAAAGGUUGAUAGUAUGCAUUAAAUGACUUUGGUUGUUCACGAAGAUCUCAUCCCACACAGCCAGUGGUGGACAAGAGGGAGAUAAGCUUUCCCCCUGCAAGAGAGGCCAGCAAUGGGAUACAUACACAUGUAAGCAUUCUCUGCCUGGACCACUAGCCUUCAUGGCUCUACAGCAGGGUGUAUGUCUCUGCUGUACUACAGAUGUACUCUAACACGAGACACUUUAUUGUCAUCAUGGCAAGCACUUGCACAGAAAGGCCAAAGCUCCUCCAGUUCUCUGUGGGCUCUGGAAAGGUCCAGUGUGUCUGCCGAGGUCACAGCUGCAGCACAGAGCACCUGAGGACAACAGUCCCAAGGCACAUUUGGCCUUCAUCAUGACGGUUCUAGGCUGUAGGCAGGUUCUAGCAGUCACUGAUCAGUGAUGCUGUGCCUUUUUAAAGGGUGAGCUAAACCGAUCAGCUCUGCAGUGUCAAAGUGGUCUCCAGCAUGAAAAGAGAUGCGUUUGCGUCUGGUGAAUGUCCAAAUUAAAAAAUAAAAAUGGUGGUCUGAGCCUCCUGUGAAGGAGAGCAGCAGUCAUCACAGCCUUGCUCACAUGACUCAUCACAGCCUUGCUCACAUGACUGCAUCUUUAUUCAUAUGAGGAACCAUCAAACCAUAGGCUAGAAGCAAAUAAAUUAUUUCUUAUUGUUUGAUUCUUUAUAGUUCAAAGAAAAAAAAAGAUCUUUUAUGUUGUUUAUAAAUAAACAGGACUGCAUUAAAAAUUCCUGGUGGCAUCAUUAAUUUUUCCUCCCAAAAGAAGCACUCCACAAAGCCAUUCUUUUGCUUACAUUCUUCUUAUUUGAUAACCUUGGCUUAGAAAAAAGAGAGGAGUUCAAUUUCUGAAUCUACAGCUGAAUUACUUUAUUAUCAUUAUUGAUGAAGCAAUUAUGAUACCUCUAUCAUGGAAGUAUUAUGAGAGACAAACUUGCUGAUACAGGCAACAUGAUUUCUUUAAUGGCAAUCACUACUUACAUUUCCCUCCUGUGUCUGCGAACAGAAAUGAAAUAAAGGUCACCAAAAGGUAUCACAGGUAUGUGACACAGGCAUAGAACCUUUGAGUCUUACACUGGGCAACUCAGGACCUGUCUGAGUGCACCAAAUUGCCAGGAGUCAGGAAGAAAUUCAGGUGACCAGCACAAACUAAACACUAGCCAAAACAAAGGUCAAAAAUGUCACCAGUUACGAUCAGUACAAUUUUGUCUUCAACAUUUGUAAAGGUUGUCAAGCCUUUGGACUUGUGUUAAGCUUUAGCAAGUAGAAUUCCUGUGCACCAGGGAGCAGCCAUCUGAAGCUUUGUGUGACUUUUUGUAAGUUGUAUGAGGAGCAGCUGAGGGAGCUGGGGUUGUUUGGCCUGGAGAAGGCUCAUGGGAGACCUUACUGCUCUCUACAACUCCCUGAAAGGAGAUUAUAGCCAGGUGGGGUUUGCUCUCUUCUCCCAGGCAACCAGCGACAGGACCAAAGGAAUUGGCCUCAAGCUGUGCCAGGGAAGGUUCAGGCUGGGUUUCAGGAGGAAUUUCUUCACAGAAGGGUUGUCAAGCAUCGGAAUGGGCUGCCCAGGGAGGUGGUGAAGUAACCCUUCCUGGAGGUGUUUAAGGAAAGACUGGACGUGGCACUCAGUGCUAUGGUCUAAGUGACAUGGUGGCGUCCGUAAGCUUGGACUUGGUGAUCCCAGAGGUCUUUUCCAACUGAUUUUUCCAAUUGAUUCUGUGAUUCUGUAAUGAGAGCUGUGAAUCUGCUUUUGCUAGGAUGCUCACUUGAUUUUCCUUAUGUAUUUC
ensembl:lncRNA